rnacentral:rRNA from 1 species
UACGUAGGGUGGCAAGCGUUGUCCGGACUUAUUGGGCGUAAAGCGCGCGCAGGUGGUUUCUUAAGUCUGAUGUGAAAGCCCACGGCUCAACCGUGGAGGGUCAUUGGAAACUGGGGAACUUGAGUGCAGAAGAGGAAAGUGGAAUUCCAAGUGUAGCGGUGAAAUGCGUAGAGAUUUGGAGGAACACCAGUGGCGAAGGCGACUUUCUGGUCUGUAACUGACACUGAGGCGCGAAAGCGUGGGGAGCGAACAGG